UUCAAUUCGCUUUGCCUGUUUCUUCCCCUUUCUGGUAUGUAUCAUAUCAUUGAUUAUUUUUAGUGGAUCAGACAAUGCUGCCAACAAAACAGGGGUGUGAAGAUCAUCUGACAUGGGAGGCAACAAACACAUUAUGGAACCUAUUAAUGCCAUCUAAAAUAUCAGGUGGGACAGAAUCCUUCUCAAAUGCCAUGUCAUGCUGGCUGAUGACAGUUUCACAAUCAUGUAAUGUCUGAUAUAUGUAAAAAAUACGUUCUGAAGCACUCUCAAGCUGUACAUUAGAGUAGUUGAUUGGAGAUCGAUAGUGGGUCCCCAACAAGAAAAGUCUCAAAGCCAGUGGAUGAUAAAGAUCUAUAACCUGCCUAAUCGUAAAAAAGUUUCCAAGUGAUUUGGACAUUUUCUCAGAGUCAACAGUGACAAAGCCAUUAUGUAUCCAGUAGCUUAUNNUCUCUGCAUGCAGCACAACUCUGGGCAAUCUCAUUUUCAUGGUGGGGAAACACAAGGUCCAUUCCCCCACCAUGAAUGUCAAAAGAGUGACCAAGAUAAGCAGCACUCAUGGCACUGCACUCAAUAUGCCAUCCAGGUCUUCCAGGACCCCAUGGACUCUCCCAAAAAGGUUCACCUUCCUUUGCAGACUUCCACAAUGCAAAAUCAGCAGGAUUUUUCUUCCUUGAGUCCACAGCCACUCGCUCACCUGCUCUAUUAUCUUCUAAUUUUCGCCCAGAUAAUUGUCCAUAUUCAGGAAAUUUGUCUACGGAGAAGUAAACAUCGCCAUCAAUUCUGUAGGCACACUCAUUAUCAAGAAUCUG
rnacentral:misc_RNA from 1 species